CAUGCGCAUGGUUAAAGCUUUCAAGUUGAGUCACUAUCUGAAGGAUGGACUCACAAAUGCAGCUUGUGUGCUACUUCAGGAAAGUGAUUCCCACCACUAGGGUCUGUAACCAAAUAAUUGAAGUUUGAUGAUAAUAUUCUACACAA
rnacentral:snoRNA from 1 species